rnacentral:rRNA from 1 species
AGUGAGGAAUAUUGGACAAUGGGCGAGAGCCUGAUCCAGCCAUGCCGCGUGCAGGAAGACGGUCCUAUGGAUUGUAAACUGCUUUUAUACGGGAAGAACCUAGGGCACGUGUGCUCUACUGACGGUACCGUAAGAAUAAGGAUCGGCUAACUCCGUGCCAGCAGCAGCC